UGUCCUUCGCGAAUCUUUUUGCGGUCUGGGCUUGCUGUAUAUAACUACCUAGCCGGGAAGCCCUUACCCCAAAAAGCAUUCGCGGAGGGCG
rnacentral:pre_miRNA from 1 species